GCUCGGCGUGGUGGCGGGCGCCUGUAAUCCCAGCUACACAGGAGGCUGAGGCAGGAGAAUCACUUGAACCCAGGAGGCUGAGGUUGCAGUGAGCUAAGAUCGUACCACUGCACUCCAGCCUGGGCGACAGAGUGAGACUCUGUCUCAA
rnacentral:SRP_RNA from 1 species